GUGAUGAGAAGACAGAAGAGGAGAAAGAGGAAGAAGAGAAAGAGAAGGAAAAAGAGGAAGAGAGUGGAGAGUCCACAGACUUGACUAGAGAUAGUGGAGAGAAGGUACUAUCUUGUGCUUGUUAUGGAUAAGAUAUUGAAAUGCCUUGAGUUUGAGUUUGUAUGUUGAUGAAUCUUGUUUCUCGAUUUUCAGGCAUAGCGGAAUAACAACUGAGAUGAUGGAUGGAAGUUACAACAACCGUUAGAGAUAUUCAGGUUCAUGAGCUCCAUUUUUAACUUUUGUUUACAUACAAGUUAUGAGGCUUGAGUUGAAGACUUGCUUCAGGUUCACACUGAGCUUUUAUUCUUUUGCUUGUGUUGAUAAGUUUAGUUGUAGACUAGUAUACCUGAAAAGAUAAGAGCACAGUUGGUAAGUUUAAGUGGUCAAUGUUUCUCUGUAGGCUGAGAAUCAAAAAAUAAAAAUGUUUCAUAUUUCAGAAACGAGUUAGAGAUAUUCAGAUUUCAUGAGCUCCUUUUUUAACUUUUAUCUACAUACAACAAUCAUAUGCUUUCAUGUGUCUUCUUUUGUGUUAAACAUGUGUUGCUUUAGUAGCUUGAACCGUAGGUGUUGAACCUUCUUUUUUUCCUUUUUGCAGGCUGAGGACAAGUAGAGAAGCUGGAAGCUGAGAAGAAGUGAAUCAAUAAAUCAGAGAGUUAUAUUUUUUUUUUACAUAAAACAGAGCUAUCAAAACCUUAAAAUUGUAUCCACAUAUUUUACAUCAUAUUUGUAUUAGAGGUGAACAAAUACAAAUUAAACAUUCAGCGGAUUUGAGAGAUAAUUUUUUUUACAUUAAAUUGGGCUUAAACAGAAUUGCUAAUCAUGGGAAAGCUUGGGUUGGCCAUAUGGGUGUUGGGUUAAGUUGGGUGUGGACUAGAUAGGGUGUGGGCUAGAUGUGGGUGUGGGUGUCUUGAGACCAGGAAAAACAAAUACCCAUUGGGCAUACCCAUUUGGGUGUGGUCCAACCCAACUGACACCCCU
rnacentral:lncRNA from 1 species